AUUGAACGCUGGCGGCAGGCCUAACACAUGCAAGUCGAACGAGUGGAGGACGGGUGAGUCAUGUCUGGGAAUCUGCGUGAUGGAGGGGGAUAACUCCUGGCAACGGUAGCUAAUACCGCAUACCAUCAGAUAUGCACAGAUUGGAUUAGCUAGUAGGUGGGGUAAUGGCUCACCUAGGCGACGCUCGCUAGCUGGUCUGAGAGGCUGACCGGGCACACUGGGACGGACACACGGUCCAGUCUCCUACGGAAGGCAGGAGAGGGGAAUAGUGCACAAUGGGCGCAAGCCUGAUGCAGCAAUGCCGGUUGUGUGAAGAAGGCCUUCGGGUUGUAUACCACUUUCAGCGUGGAGGCUUUGCCCGCAGAAGAAGCACCCGCUAACUCCGUGCCAGCAGCCGCGGUAAUUC
rnacentral:rRNA from 1 species